rnacentral:rRNA from 1 species
GUGAGGAAUAUUGGACAAUGGGCGCAAGCCUGAUCCAGCCAUGCCGCGUGAGUGAUGAAGGCCUUAGGGUUGUAAAGCUCUUUCAGUGGGGACGAUAAUGACGGUACCCACAGAAGAAGCCCCGGCUAACUUCGUGCCAGCAGCCGCGGUAAUACGAAGGGGGCUAGCGUUGUUCGGAUUUACUGGGCGUAAAGCGCACGUAGGCGGAUCGUUAAGUCGGGGGUGAAAUCCUGGAGCUCAACUCCAGAACUGCCUUCGAUACUGGCGAUCUUGAGUCCGGAAGAGGUGAGUGGAACUCCUAGUGUAGAGGUGGAAUUCGUAGAUAUUAGGAAGAACACCAGUGGCGAAGGCGGCUCACUGGUCCGGUACUGACGCUGAGGUGCGAAAGCGUGGGGAGCAAACAGGAUUAGAUACCCUUGUAGUCC